UUUAUCCUGAGAAUGAAAAAAUAACAAAUGUUAUACAAAACCUCAGCACAUCCCAGAAGAGCGCAACAGUGUUCAAUAUAGCAGUAAGAACAAACAAAUGAUUUCAACAGCCCUCAUGCACAUUCCAAAGCCAUGAGAACAGACUGCUCAGUGGUUGAUAAAAUGCCUGUCCGAUGAUUUUGUAGGGCAGAUUCAGGUCUUUUUAACCCUCAGACGAGGUCACUUAAAUGUCUGGCUUCCUGAUUGUGCCUACAGCUUACAGUCCAAGGAGACCAAUGCCAAGCCCUUUGUCUACUGUUUAAUUCAGCAGAAAUCUUGGCAGUGUAUCUAGAAAUGAAGGAGGUGUGUGGGGGCUGGAACUUCCACUUGGAGAAGAAGAGAGCUGUAAAACUGAAGCAUUGGA